UGGGGAAUAUUGCACAAUGGGCGCAAGCCUGAUGCAGCAACGCCGCGUGAACGAUGAAGGUCUUCGGAUCGUAAAGUUCUGUUGCAGGGGAAGAUAAUGACGGUACCCUGUGAGGAAGCCCCGGCUAACUACGUGCCAGCAGCCGCGGUAAUACGUAGGGGGCUAGCGUUAUCCGGAUUUACUGGGCGUAAAGGGUGCGUAGGUGGUCUUUCAAGUCGGUGGUUAAAGGCUACGGCUCAACCGUAGUUAGCCUCCGAAACUGGAAGACUUGAGUGCAGGAGAGGAAAGUGGAAUUCCCAGUGUAGCGGUGAAAUGCGUAGAUAUUGGGAGGAACACCAGUAGCGAAGGCGGCUUUCUGGAAUGCAACUGACACUGAGGCACGAAAGCGUGGGUAGCAAACAGG
rnacentral:rRNA from 1 species